CAUCCUGGGGCUGAAGUCGGUCCCAAGGGUAUGGCUGUUCGCCAUUUAAAGUGGUACGCGAGCUGGGUUUAGAACGUCGUGAGACAGUUCGGUCCCUAUCUGCCGUGGGCGUUGGAAGAUUGAAGGGGGCUGCUCCUAGUACGAGAGGACCGGAGUGGACGAACCUCUGGUGUUCGGGUUGUGUCGCCAGACGCAUUGCCCGGUAGCUAAGUUCGGAAUCGAUAACCGCUGAAAGCAUCUAAGCGGGAAGCGAGCCCUGAGAUGAGUCUUCCCUGAUACUUUAAGUAUCCUAAAGGGUUGUCGGAGACUACGACGUUGAUAGGUCAGGUGUGUAAGUGCUGUGAGGCAUUGAGCUAACUGAUACUAAUUGCCCGUGAGGCUUAACCAUACAACACCCAAGGGGUUU
rnacentral:rRNA from 1 species